GCCCAACGACUGAGCCACCCAGGCUCCCUAUGCUGUAUGUCUUCUAAAAUUCAAAUUAAACUCCCUGGGUAUCAGGGAAAGUAGAAAUAUGAAGGGACUGAGAAGAUACAAACAUCAUGAAGAAUGAUGAAUGUGCUUAAUGGAGGUGUCAUCUCUAACCCAAUGUUCAACCAUGCCUCUGGAAACAGGGGGAGAAGCAGGCCAUAGACGAGAGACCUGUAUCUCCCUCUCCAAAGGAAAUUACUUCACUCGUAACUAUGGACAGUUCAAGCCUAAGGACAUUCUCAAAAACAGCAAAGUUUUGAUAAAAGACUGAAAGACUCACUGGAGGUUCCUUAAAAUUUGCAUAUCUCGCAACAAACAUGCAUUAAUCCCGUCAUCAGAAACAUAUCAGAAGCUAUUUCCACUUAACAGAUUCAAUAGUUGGAGGCAAGUUUUCUUUCUGUUAAGAACACUGUGAGCAAAAAGACCUUCAAAAUGAAUGGACCACCAAGGAUAUCUGUGACUGAAAUAACUCCUGUAAACUUAUGAACAUCCUUUUGCUGUAUCUCAGCAAUGCAAUAGAGCACAUUCACUAUUCACAAACCUGAAUUAACAAAAUUCAGGGAGGUAGCAUUUUCAGAUUGUUAAAAAGAAAACCACAGGCCCAAAUAGGCGUCAGUUAGGUUAAGGCCUGUGGUCAGUAAACUAAGACUUAGUACCUAACCAAACUGCAGUUUCAACCCUCAGCAAUGUAAACUUUAACCAGUCAACAUGGAACUUCCUGGCUAAGACUAGGAAAUUUACUGAUAUACCGCUUCUUCACCCCUUAGGAGAGCACCUUACAUAAACAAUGUAUUCCUUGCAUGAACUGCUUAACAAAUUAUUAGUUAAGAAUUAUUAAAGGAAUUAAUAAAUUCCUUUCUCUUCUUUUUUAGUUCACUCUCUCUACCUUUAAAAACUUCUGUUGUUUUGUUUAGCUCAGCAGAGCUCCCCUUUACUUGCUAGAUGGAAUGCUGCCUGAUUCAUGAAUUGUUCAACAAAGCCAAUUAAAUUUUCAGGUUUA